AGUUUUUCUGGAACACUGUCUCUGAGAGCCCUGAUCAACCAUGUAAGGAGGUAGAUUGCCCUCAGACCUGAAGAUGACAUGUGAAGGACCUCUAGAAAACCGUCCCAGCUGAGCCCUUUUUUCCAGCCUCCCUACCAAGGCAGAAAAGUGAAAGGUGAGAGGAUAAAAAGAAAAAUGAAUAAAGAGCUUAAAGAAAGAUAAUUCAAGGAAAGAAGAAUGGCAGACAGUUAAGAAGAGGAAGACCUGAGCUUUGGAACAUUCUGAACCAUAACAGUUCAGCUGCAACUGCAGCCACAGUUGUGUCAUACAGUGUUCCCAAGACAAAUCUUGCAGAUGCAAGAGAACCUUGUUAAAAUCAGGAAGACUCCAUUUCCCAGGACAGUCCUCAUUUCAUCUCGAUGACCAAUGAGAUAGAUGUUUCUGGGCAUCAGGAAACCGAGACAGGUGAGGCAGAGGACAUCUGUAAAUGGAGGGUGAAGCCAAUGAAGAGUCAUCUCGAAGGUGGCACAACUGGGAGGUGGCAGACUCUGUAUGGUUCCCAGGCUGCCUCUCUUGAGGGUGAGUGUGCAUUCCACCACAAGGUGGGAGUUCAAGGAAAUCAUCCAGCCAACACACCCAGCAAAUAUAUGUUGGCUACUACCAUUCAGAUAUGAUUCCAGAUGCUGAACAAGAUAGAUACAUGCUCUGCUCUGAUAGAGCUCAUAUUGCGAGUACACCUCCAAUAAGUAAAUAAAUGUAUCAAGAGGGCACUUCAUAACGUGAUAAAUGCAAUGAAGAAAAUGAUCAAGGACACUAUAAUAAGGAGUAAGUAACUUCAGGUGGAUGGUCAGGGGAGAUGCCUCUGAGAAGAAAACCUUACACUGAAAUAAGAAUAAUGAUACGGAACAGGCCACCUAAAGAUUGGGAGGGUGGGAUCCAGAAGUUACCAGGGAGAGGGAGGAGCUAGAGCAAGGGUCCCAAGGCAGAAUCAGGCUGGGUGUGUUUGAGGACAGCAAGGAGCCUGCAGUCUGAGGACAGUAUGGGAGGAGAACAGAUGAGAUGGCAAGGGGUCUGAAGAAAAAGAGGACCUAGAGAUCAUCAAUUUUAUGAAAAAAUAAUACUGAUAACACAUUACUCUUCACAUUUAUGUGUGGUGCUCCUAAUUCACUUGCCAGGAAAAUAAAACAUGACCAGAAUUGAACUGGUUUGAAUUGAACUGGAUAAAAUGCCAUACAGCUGUUGUGCUCUGUUCCCUUGUCCACACUCUUGUUUCCUCCUGCUGUUAGAAGAAGGCUGGCAAAGCCCAAGAGGGAGGCCUAUGAUAGUAGAAUAAAGUGAAGAUGGUCACACCAGAUAUGAAUAAGGAUCUCUGACUUAAUACCUAUGUACAUACAUACAUGCUCAGCACACAGUAGGAACCUAGUAUAUGUUAGUUUCCCUUCAUAGAUUUCUAAGUAAGAAUAAUACUAUAAUUCUCCUAUAGUCAGUUUUACUUAUUAGAUUUUAAGAGCAUGAAAUCAAAAAGGAAAGCAAAUCUUUAAAUUCUUCUUGUCCAAUUAAAUCCAUAAUCCUCUUUAUAAAUAAAAGUUGAAGUAAAA
rnacentral:lncRNA from 10 species